rnacentral:rRNA from 1 species
AGAGUUUGAUCCUGGCUCAGGAUGAACGCUGGCGGCGUGCCUAACACAUGCAAGUCGAGCGAACCCUUCGGGGUGAGCGGCGGACGGGUGAGUAACGCGUGGGUAACCUGCCCUGUACACACGGAUAACAUACCGAAAGGUAUGCUAAUACGAGAUAAUAUAUUUUAAUCGCAUGGUUAAGAUAUCAAAGCUCCGGCGGUACAGGAUGGACCCGCGUCUGAUUAGCUAGUUGGUGAGGUAAUGGCUCACCAAGGCGACGAUCAGUAGCCGACCUGAGAGGGUGAUCGGCCACACUGGAACUGAGACACGGUCCAGACUCCUACGGGAGGCAGCAGUGGGGAAUAUUGCACAAUGGGCGAAAGCCUGAUGCAGCAACGCCGCGUGAGCGAUGAAGGCCUUCGGGUCGUAAAGCUCUGUCCUCAAGGAAGAUAAUGACGGUACUUGAGGAGGAAGCCCCGGCUAACUACGUGCCAGCAGCCGCGGUAAUACGUAGGGGGCUAGCGUUAUCCGGAAUUACUGGGCGUAAAGGGUGCGUAGGCGGUCUUUCAAGCCAGAAGUGAAAGGCUACGGCUCAACCGUAGUAAGCUUUUGGAACUGUAAGACUUGAGUGCAGGAGAGGAGAGUGGAAUUCCUAGUGUAGCGGUGAAAUGCGUAGAUAUUAGGAGGAACACCAGUAGCGAAGGCGGCUCUCUGGACUGUAACUGACGCUGAGGCACGAAAGCGUGGGGAGCAAACAGGAUUAGAUACCCUGGUAGUCCACGCCGUAAACGAUGAGUACUAGUGUCGGGGGUUACCCCCCUCGGUGCCGCAGCUAACGCAUUAAGUACUCCGCCUGGGAAGUACGCUCGCAAGAGUGAAACUCAAAGGAAUUGACGGGGACCCG